UACGUAGGGGGCAAGCGUUGUCCGGAUUUAUUGGGCGUAAAGAGCGUGUAGGCGGCUAGGUAGGUCCGUUGUGAAAACUCGAGGCUCAACCUCGAGACGUCGAUGGAAACCAUCUAGCUAGAGUCCGGAAGAGGAGAGUGGAAUUCCUGGUGUAGCGGUGAAAUGCGUAGAGAUCAGGAAGAACACCGGUGGCGAAAGCGCUCUGCUAGGCCGCAACUGACACUGAGGGACGAAAGCUAGGGGAGCGAAUGGG
rnacentral:rRNA from 1 species